CUACGGGGGGCAGCAGUGAGGAAUAUUGCACAAUGGGGGAAACCCUGAUGCAGCAACGCCGCGUGGAGGAUGACGCAUUUCGGUGUGUAAACUCCUUUUAUGAGUCAAGAAAAUGACGGUAGCUCAUGAAUAAGCACCGGCUAACUCCGUGCCAGCAGCCGCGGUAAUACGGAGGGUGCAAGCGUUACUCGGAAUCACUGGGCGUAAAGGACGCGUAGGCGGGAUGUCAAGUCAGGUGUGAAAUCCUAUGGCUCAACCAUAGAACUGCACUUGAAACUGGCAACCUAGAGUAUGGGAGGGGGAGAUGGAAUUAGUGGUGUAGGGGUAAAAUCCGUAGAUAUCACUAGGAAUACCGAAAGCGAAGGCGAUCUCCUGGAACAUUACUGACGCUAAGGCGUGAAAGCGUGGGGAGCAAACAGGAUUAGAUACCCCGGUAGUC
rnacentral:rRNA from 1 species